AACGAACGCUGGCGGCAUGCCUAACACAUGCAAGUCGAACGAGACCUUCGGGGCUAGUGGCGCACGGGUGCGUAACGCGUGGGAACCUGCCCUUAGGUUCGGAAUAACUCCCCGAAAGGGGUGCUAAUACCGGAUAAUGUCCUCGGACCAAAGAUUUAUCGCCUUUGGAUGGGCCCGCGUUGGAUUAGCUAGUUGGUAGGGUAAAAGCCUACCAAGGCGACGAUCCAUAGCUGGUCUGAGAGGAUGAUCAGCCACACUGGGACUGAGACACGGCCCAGACUCCUACGGGAGGCAGCAGUGGGGAAUAUUGGACAAUGGGCGAAAGCCUGAUCCAGCAAUGCCGCGUGAGUGAUGAAGGCCUUAGGGUUGUAAAGCUCUUUUACCCGGGAUGAUAAUGACAGUACCGGGAGAAUAAGCUCCGGCUAACUCCGUG
rnacentral:rRNA from 1 species